GCCCCUGUAGUGUAGUCCGGUUAGCAUUCAAGACUGUCAAUCCAAGCGAUUGAUGCUUGAAGCAGACCUCUUGAGAUCCGGGUUCAAAUCCCGGCGGGGGCG
rfam:Candidatus Thorarchaeota archaeon AB_25 ThorAB25_contig000151, whole genome shotgun sequence.